rnacentral:piRNA from 1 species
AGAUGUCACUCUGUCCACCAGCUUGG